rnacentral:rRNA from 1 species
AGAGUUUGAUCAUGGCUCAGAAUCAACGCUGGCGGCGCGCUUAACACAUGCAAGUCGCACGAGAAAGCAGGAGCAAUCUUGUGAGUAAAGUGGCGUACGGGUGAGUAACACGUGGAUCAUCUACCUCUUGGUGGGGAAUAACCCUGGGAAACCGGGGCUAAUACCGCAUAAGCCUGCGAAGGGAAAGCAGCAAUGCGCCGAGAGAGGAGCCCGCGGCCGAUUAGCUAGUUGGCGGGGUAACGGCCCACCAAGGCGAAGAUCGGUAGCCGGCCUGAGAGGGCACACGGCCACACUGGCACUGAAACACGGGCCAGACUCCUACGGGAGGCAGCAGUGGGGAAUCUUGCACAAUGGAGGAAACUCUGAUGCAGCGACGCCGCGUGAGCGAUGAAGCCCCUCGGGGUGUAAAGCUCUUUCGACGGGAAAGAUAAUGACGGUACCCGAAGAAGAAGCUGCGGCUAACUACGUGCCAGCAGCCGCGGUAAUACGUAGGCAGCAAGCGUUGUUCGGAAUUACUGGGCGUAAAGAGUGUGUAGGCGGUGUUCUAAGUCUGUUGUGAAAUCUCCCGGCUUAACUGGGAGGGUGCGGCGGAGACUGGAAUGCUAGAGUGUGGGAGAGGUAAGCGGAAUUCCUGGUGUAGCGGUGAAAUGCGUAGAUAUCAGGAGGAACACCUGUGGUGUAGACAGCUUACUGGACCACGACUGACGCUGAGACACGAAAGCGUGGGUAGCAAACAGGAUUAGAUACCCUAGUAGUCC